UCGCCUUUUGUUUGUUAAUUAACCUGUUGAACUAUACCUGCUCUGCACUGCGUCCUGCAUUUGGGUCCUAUAUCCUGCUCACCACACAACCCUGACAGAUGACUUUUUCAGAUGAUGACAUUCUUUCUCAUUUGGUGACAGCAGAUGUCCACAGAUGACGAGGAUGCAUUUACAAAUGGGAUGAAAAUCGACAUUGUGAUGGUGAAAGACAGAAGACUUGGUGGUCCUCGAGGAAGAAGUGAUCCCUUCGGAUCUGAAGGACGUCCCGAAUGCCGUUGCCAUACUGAUGGGCUUUCUUUUUGCUCUCAACAUAGACUAUCCAAGGGAACUGAGGUACAUCUUUGAAGUCAUCCCAAAAGGUCCUCAUGAACAUUGGUGGAGGACAGUGUUCCUCACUUGUGCAUGGUUUAAGAAAUAAACUGCAAAAAACCAUGUACGGUUGUGCUCUGAAGGUUUUGCACUUUAUGCCGAAGUAAAAUACUGUUAGUAGACAGUGUUGAAGCAUUCAGUACUGUCUCAGCAGUUUAACAGUAUUUAUUUUCAUUGCUUAAAUUCAUACACUUUGUUUUGUAUAGUGUUAUUGGCACACAAUGUAGAACAGUUGCAUCAUUUUGAGUUGUAUAGCAAACACCAUCAUUGUUUGGAAAUGGUUUUAUUGUCAAACUAAUAUUGUGUUACCAUUCAGUGUUUUCUAUUCUAUGCAGACUGCACACGUUUUUAUCUGUUCAUAUAUGGCUGAUGGCAUAGGGUAUGUUUCUGUGGCUGUUCACCGACUAGUUAUGGUCUUUAAAGGAUCAGUGUGUAGCAUUUUUGUGGCAACAGCAAUGUCAUUUCAAAUUUCAACUAUCUGCUCCCACUUCCACUCUAAGAUACCAGGAAUUUAUCUUCAGGAAAUUUGACACCUAACUAAAACAUAACUGUGAAUAUUGCGUAACAUUUCUACCAAUAGAUCCUAAACCCUGAACCUUCCGGUUGAAAAAGUGAUAGACUUUGGCCUCUGUUGUCAGAAGUAAAUGUCAUCUUUGAUCAAUAAAUGUUAAGGUGCAUGGAUAUUGGUAUUUGUCAUGUUUCUCAUUAAAAAUGCAAUCAUCCUUUUAAUUGAAGUGAUCUUCAUUAGGGUAUAGCAUAAUUUAAAUUUUUAAAGUCAGUUAGCCAGUAGGGUUGGGCGACGUCUACAUUGAAACAUCGGGAUGGGCGAUGGCAUCGGGGGCAGAUGCUCAGAUGGGGAUCUUAUGUGCAUGUGUUCACUCGCACGGACUUUACUCGGUUAAAAACUUGGUAGCCUAUGACGCUACAAGUCGUGGUGGAUGUUUUACAAGCACGACCAGGUAAAGCAGCAGUGAACACACAGAUGUUGGUUUCACUUGUUUGAUAGGCUCCGUCAUUAACAAGCCCACAAGAGGCUCACCUGCUAACGGAUCACGCGUGGAAAAAUACGGGAAAAGAGUUCUGUGUCUUUUAGGCGACUUUAUAAAACGUACUGCUGACGGGCAAAGGGGGAGACGGAGGCGGGGCAAGCCGGUGUGUGUAACUGAGGUGUAGGCCUCUGGUGUGUCUGAGUGUGGAGAGAAGAGAAAUCUGAGGACGGUGCGAAGCAUGUUUUAAAUUUAUAAUGUUCGCGGUGAUUAAGAUUUGCUUUCACAGGGUAGUAUUAUGUGAAAAAUUUAGAUUGUUUUUCGCUGGGGGGGCAAGGUUUUACAAUCACGAUGCCUGCUCAACCAUCGACCAUCUGUCAGCCAUCGCCGAUAGACGAUGGCAUCAUCUAUCGGCCCAACCCAAAUAGCCAGUUUGAAAUGUAUGUUGAAGUGUAAAUAACUGAAAAUGUAGUUAAGUAAAUGUAUACAAUUGAAUCAAUGGUAGAGUUAACUCAACAAGUCAUUAGUUAUGUUGAAAUGGAUUUGUUUAUUAAUUGAAUAAACCUUUUUAAUUGAGCUAACAUAAAUUUUAAAGUUGAAAGAACUACCAUGAGCAGUUAAAGCAACUGACAAAGCCAAGUCAACUGAACCUCCAACCGAUGUUGACAGAACAUAUUAUUUAAAUUAAGAUGAAUUAAUCUGCUUAGUUCAUUAGACUAACUAAUGCACAUCAACCAAGCUAAAGGUUUACACACCACAGGAUAUUUAUUUAACAUAACAUUUUGUGAUGUUAGAAGAACAAACUGGGUUAUUUCACCUAAGGUAAAAUUUUAAGGCAGCCCUUUCACUCAUAUUUUUAGGUUGAAAAAUCGUGUUAGAUUUUACAGUGUUUGGGGUAGCCCACUUUUGGUCCAGCACAGAGACUUUUGAGUGAAAAGUGAGAAAGGAGAAAGAUGCAGUGGUUGUCUGAAAGUUUACAGAUUUUCUCAUCAGCAGGACAAACAUGGACUGUAAGACCGACCCGCUGGAAUGCUGUCUGUUUUCUAGUGGUGAAACACGUCAUUGCCACAAACACACUGUGAGACAAGACAAAGUGUGAACAUCAGUCUUAAUAUAGUUUGACCCGGCCUUGACAUCACGAACCUACAUUCAACAAUAGAAACAUCACUAAUAUCAAAAUGAAACGUCAUUAAAGAAUGUGGUUAGAACAGCACCUUACGAGGAGCUACACAAACUGUGAGGGGCAGAAAGUUUGAUCAUCUUAAAUAACUAAUAAAGCUUAUGAAUACAAAAUUAGAGACUGAAUCCACAACGGACCUACCAGCGAACAUCCAGCCCGCCAAACCAGCUUCUUUCUUUACUGACUGGUAAUGUGCCGGGCACUUUGUAGCUUAACUGUAACUCCUUUUUAACUGAUCACCGUUGCACAGAUUACAUAAAUAUACUUCUAUUCUGUCUUAAACAAUACCACACAGGAGGGAACAUAAUGUUCCUGCUGCACAUUUUUUCCUUUGCCUGACCACAUGUGCCCUAAUCCCCGACACUAUCUAAAGAACACAAGUUGCACUAUUGCAAACAUUUAUCUUUACCAACAUCUUUACACCUUCAUCUUCCUCCACUUCUUUUCAGGUGGUGAAACACGUCAUUGUUAAAUAUACACCGUGGGACUGGACAAAGUGAGAACUUGAGACUCGAUGGUGGAUCUUUGU